UGGGGAAUUUUCCGCAAUGGGCGAAAGCCUGACGGAGCAACGCCGCGUGAGGGAUGAAGGCCUCUGGGCUGUAAACCUCUUUUCUCAAGGAAGAAGAUCUGACGGUACUUGAGGAAUAAGCCACGGCUAAUUCCGUGCCAGCAGCCGCGGUAAUACGGGAGUGGCAAGCGUUAUCCGGAAUUAUUGGGCGUAAAGCGUCCGCAGGUGGCUCUGUAAGUCUGUCGUUAAAGCGUGGAGCUUAACUCCAUUUCAGCGGUGGAAACUACAGAGCUUGAGUGUGGUAGGGGCAGAGGGAAUUCCCGGUGUAGCGGUGAAAUGCGUAGAUAUCGGGAAGAACACCAGUGGCGAAGGCGCUCUACUGGGCCGUUACUGACGCUGAGGGACGAAAGCUAGGGGAGCGAAAGGG
rnacentral:rRNA from 1 species